AGCAGCCGCGGUAAUUCCAGCUCCAAUAGCGUAUAUUAAAGUUGUUGCAGUUAAAAAGCUCGUAGUUGAAUUUCGGGGUUAGUAGGUUGGUCAUGCCUCUGGUAUGUACUGGUCUCACUGAUUCCUCUUCCUGAUGAGCCGUAAUGCCAUUAAUUUGGUGUUGCGGGGAAUUUGGACUGUUACUUUGAAAAAAUUAGAGUGUUUAAAGCAAGCUAACGCUUGAAUACAUUAGCAUGGAAUAAUGAAAUAGGACGUUCGAUCCUAUUUUGUUGGUUUCUAGGAUUGACGUAAUGAUUAAUAGGGAUAGUUGGGGGCAUUAGUAUUCAAUUGUCAGAGGUGAAAUUCUUGGAUUUAUUGAAGACUAACUACUGCGAAAGCAUUUGCCAAGGAUGUUUUCAUUAAUCAAGAACGAAAGUUAGGGGAUCGAAGACGAUCAGAUACCGUCGUAGUCUUAACCAUAAACUAUGCCGACCAGGGAUCGGAUGAUGUUAAUUUUUUAAUGACUCA
rnacentral:rRNA from 1 species